CAGCUGCAUAAUCAGCAGAGAUUGGGAUCAGGUGCCUUUACAAUGGACUGAAAGGCAGAGAUGUCACUCCUGCAUCAGCAUUUGCCAGAUGAGGAAGGAAAGGACAGGAAACCAUGUUCUGGAUAAAACAGAGCCAGAGCAGGUUCAGAAGCACUGAAGAGGAGCGACUGACCCAAAAGAAAAGGAGAAGACAGCAAUCUGAGGUAAUGGAGGAGGAGAGGGGAGAAGAUGCUCUUCUUGGACAAGCUUGUGUGACCCGCAGGUGCCCUACAGAGCAGUGUUGAUGAGCUUCUGCUUUGCAAGGGAUGAGCUUUAACUGCAUUUUUCAGAGCCUGCCCUUCUAGAGGUGACAGGGAGCAACUGAUCUCAUCACCAUCCUUGAUUGCCAUUCUCUUUUGUGGAGGUAAGACUGUAAUCAUGUCUUCCCUUAGGCUUCUUUUCCUGUGACCCUUUCUCAGAGGGCACAUCUUUCUAAAUGUCUUUCUAUUUUUGCUGUCCCUUUCCAGCAUUUUCCUAAUUGCCUCUCUCUUGUUCACAGCAGCACUCAAAACUGGCUACAGCC